rnacentral:tRNA from 1 species
GUUCUAGCUCAGUGUUGAGUGAUUGCCUUGCAUGCAUGAGGCACUGGGUUCGAACCUCAGUUCGAAUA